rnacentral:rRNA from 1 species
ACGAAGGAGGCAAGCGAUGUCCGGAAUUAUUGGGCGUAAAGCGAGCGCAGGUGGUUAUAUAAGUCUGAUUUUAAAGUUCGGGGCUCAACCCCAUGAUGGAUUGGAAACUGUAUAACUUGAGUACAGUAGAGGUAAGCGGAAUUCCCAGUGUAGCGGUGAAAUGCGUAGAUAUUGGGAGGAACACCAGUGGCGAAGGCGGCUUACUGGACUGUAACUGACACUGAGGCGCGAAAGCCAGGGGAGCAAACGG